rnacentral:rRNA from 1 species
UAUGACUCUCGGCAAUGGAUAUCUUGGCUCUUGCAUCGAUGAAGAGCGCAGCGAAAUGCGAUACGUGGUGUGAAUUGCAGAAUCCCGUGAACCAUCGAGUUUUUGAACGCAAGUUGCGCCCGAGGCCAAUUGGUUGAGGGCACGUCCGCCUGGGCGUCAAGC